GGCAGGGGCAGGGCCAGGUAGGAUUCUCAUGUCAAGCUCUGCCUUGAUGACAACGAGCUGCUUCUUGUGCUCUACUUGAAAUUUCAAUGUUAAAAAUCCAAGUUUAGAUUUAGAUUUAAGUCUUCUUGGAAGAGUGGAAUCAAGACAGAGGGUUUGCAGGACUAAAGGACCUCGUGUCUUUCUUCAGAACGCUAAAGCAGAGACAUUGAUGGAUGGAAGCUGAAGUUAGAAGCUCACCAUGGCCAGGGGCCUCCUCCAGUGUGCCUGCCAACACACAGUACCCACUGUCCAGCCAAGAAAAAUGUCUUUACUAAAGCUCUCUGGAACAUGAACUUGGUCUCAGCUUUCACAGUGAACCCUCCCUGGACCUCAUAUUCAGAACAUUCUGGAGACACUGUACUCUGCUUCCUAUACUGACAGACACACUCAGGGGAAUCAUGCAGAUUCUGCUGUGGGCUGACUUCAG
rnacentral:lncRNA from 1 species